AAGGAGAAUGAGAGAAGCAAAAACCUACCCAAAAUUGUUUUCCUUUUAGUUUUCGUUUUGUCUAUUUCUCCAUGUACGUACUUUCCACUUUCUUCCCACCAUCCUUCCUCGCUUUUGAUUGUCCUUAUUUUCUUUCUUGUAUUUCUCAUUUGUUCCAAACAAAAUUGAAAAUUAUAUAUACUAAAACUCAGUUUGAAGUCACUGUUCAUUAACAGUGAUUUGACGAAAUUGUCCCUCAUUUGCUACCUAAUUCUCAGCCUUUUUCCUCUGUUAUACAGUGAAAUCACGUAUUUACCCCCAUUGUACGCGUGUUGGUUAUCGUGGAAGGAAAUGAGGCUGGAUGUACGCGUGUUAGCCAUUUGGGAGGGGAAGCAAGUGUUGGGGAUGGUGCAAGCAUCUUCUUCUCUCUCUCAGAUCUCUCGAGCUCUCUCGAACGUUUCAAUAACUUUUCCAUUUGCUUCCCUUUUAUCUCAACCUGAAACCAAAAAAUCCCAAAAACCCUCGAGCCCUCCAACAAAAUCAGAAAAAAACACCAUCUUCGCCCAAAAUUUUGAAUUUUCUCAAGAAUUCUCGCAUUUUCCUGAGAUUUUUUUCUAUGGGCUUUGGUAGCAGAUGAAGAUCGAUGACAGUGAUCGGAGUUCGUCACAUGACAUUGUGCUUGGCAACGAACAAUUUGAUCACAUCCUGAGUUUUCCGACUAAUUUAUUCAAUCGGAUCGGUUCUGAUUUUGUCCCUCCAUAGCAUCUGCAGCACUAUCUGCCUUGCUUUCGUCACAGCUUGGCUUUCGGUUCCUCAGGGGGAAUGGUGGAUGUGAGAGUUUCUUUUACAGCAGUUCAAAGGGAGAGCUUGAGAGACAGUGGACUCUUCCCCUAUUCCUCCACAAUCGCUUUUACCAAUUUCCAAGAACACAUUAAAUUCCCUCAAAAUAUAAGCCGAGGUAUGGAAAAGCUUCGAAUUCCUUGGUUUCCUCCAAUUAGUAUGCAGAACUCUCAAAAAAGAAAGUAGUGAGGGUUGAAUUUCUACUCUCAUAUAUACACAGAUAGAUAUGGAAAAGCUUAGAAUGGUGAAGUGAGGGUUCAAUGACUUAUUACUCAUUUUGGUCUAUUUAAAUAAAGUUCUCUGAUUGGUUUGAUUUGUGUUGUGUACAUUUACUUCUUGGGUAUAUUUGUGUUUUUGGACUUAUUUGUUUCUGUAUCGGUUUCUGACAGAAUGGAUAGGGUGCCAAAAAGAGAGGUGGCAUUAGGAAUAAUGGCUUUUUUGAGAGAAUUAGAGUUUGAUCUCUUCAUUUGGGUUGUGCAUAUUUCGUUUGAUCUCUUACUUUUGGUUGUGCAGAUUUCAUUUGAAUUAAUUUGGGUUGUG